rnacentral:tRNA from 1 species
GGCGGUGUAGCUCAGUUGGUCAGAGCACACGGUUCAUACCCGUGGAGUCAUUGGUUCAAGUCCAAUCACCGCUACCA